rnacentral:tRNA from 1 species
AUUUUUGUAGUUGAAUACAACGGUGGUUUUUCGGACCAUAGGUCUUGGUUGAACCCAGGCAAGAAUU